rnacentral:rRNA from 1 species
CCUACGGGAGGCAGCAGUGAGGAAUAUUGGUCAAUGGGCGCGAGCCUGAACCAGCCAAGUCGCGUGAGGGAAGACGGUCCUAUGGAUUGUAAACCUCUUUUGUCGGGGAGCAAAAGACGCCACGUGUGGCGUUCCGAGAGUACCCGAAGAAAAAGCAUCGGCAAACACCGUGCCAGCAGCCGCGGUAAUACGGAGGAUGCGAGCGUUAUCCGGAUUUAUUGGGGUUAAGGGGUGCGCAGGCGGAAGAUCAAGUCAGCGGUAAAAUUGAGAGGCUCAACCUCUUCGAGCCGUUGAAACUGGUUUGCUUGAGUGAGCGAGAAGUAUGCGGAAUGCGUGGUGUAGCGGUGAAAUGCAUAGAGAUCACGCAGAACACCGAUUGCGAAGGCAGCAUACCGGCGCUCAACUGACGCUCAUGCACGAAAGUGUGGGUAUCGAACAGGAUUAGAUACCCGAGUAGUC